GACAGGGAUACUGGAGUGAUGGAGGUAGAUAUGUAUAGAGGUAAGGUGACAGGGAUACUGGAGUGAUGGAGGUAGAUAUGUAUAGGGGGGAGGAGACAGGGAUACUGGAGUGAUGGAGGUAGAUAUGUAUAGGGGGGAGGAGAGGGAUACUAGAGUGAUGGAGGUAGAUAUGUAUAGGGGGGAGGAGACAGGGUAAUAUCCCUUUGUUAGGUGUGAGAAAGGGGUGUGAAAGGGAUAGUUUAUUCUGGCAUAACCCUGACAUCAAUGUGUAAUAGCACAAUCAGCUAAAUAUAUGCAAGUGACAGGUAGCCAAG
ensembl:lncRNA